rnacentral:rRNA from 1 species
AUGAUCAAAGGGAAGAUGCCAAUGAUGCAGGAGGCGAUCGUCGAGAUUCCUGGCCUGGGCAAUCCUUUGACGUGGCCGCGUCCGCCGGCUGGCCGAGCUGCUCUAUCUGUGGAUGGAGCGUUCAUGCAAGCUGAUGGCUCAGCGGCGGCUGGUAUGAUAUUGCAAAGGCAUGAUGGGAGUGUGAUUUUCGCGGCCUACAAAUGCAUUUUCAACUGUAAUGACGCAUUGGAGGCAGAACUACAUGCAAUAAUGCAGGGUAUGGCUCUAGCCCUGCAGCACUGUACCCUCCCGAUCGUCGCUCAGUCCGACUCGUCAGUGGCACUAGCGGCUAUGACUGGGGAUAGCUUAGCCAGAUCGGCGUAUGGACACUUAGUAGCGGAGAUUCGACAUCACAUGGGUGUUCGAGAGUUUAUUCCGUCCAAAAUCAAGCGUGAGCAGAAUAGGGUAGCACAUCGGUUGGCAUUGUAUAGUCGUACAGAAAGUAAAACCGUUGUAUGGUUCGGUAGAAGUCCACCGUGUACUGAGGAGUUGGUGCCCCUGGAUUGUAACCUUAUCCCUAUGAAAUAA